UUUGUGUCUGUAUAGGUGCAGGUGUGUCUGUGUAGUAAGGAGCUUGCUUCCCAAACACAUGGUUCUGGGUUCAGCCCUACUGCAUGGCACCUAAGA